UAGGGAAUCUUCCGCAAUGGACGCAAGUCUGACGGAGCAACGCCGCGUGAGUGAAGAAGGUUUUCGGAUCGUAAAACUCUGUUGUUAGAGAAGAACAAGUGCUAGAGUAACUGUUAGCGCCUUGACGGUAUCUAACCAGAAAGCCACGGCUAACUACGUGCCAGCAGCCGCGGUAAUACGUAGGUGGCAAGCGCUGUCCGGAUUUAUUGGGCGUAAAGCGAGCGCAGGCGGCUCCUUAAGUCUGAUGUGAAAGCCCCCGGCUCAACCGGGGAGGGUCAUUGGAAACUGGGGAACUUGAGUGCAGAAGAGGAGAGUGGAAUUCCAUGUGUAGCGGUGAAAUGCGUAGAUAUAUGGAGGAACACCAGUGGCGAAGGCGACUCUCUGGUCUGUAACUGACGCUGAGGCUCGAAAGCGUGGGUAGCAAACAGGAUUAGAUACCCUGGUAGUCCACGCCGUAAACGAUGAGUGCUAAGUGUUGGAGGGUUUCCGCCCUUCAGUGCUGCAGUUAACGCAUUAAGCACUCCGCCUGGGGAGUACGACCGCAAGGUUG
rnacentral:rRNA from 1 species